UACGUAGGUGGCAAGCGUUGUCCGGAUUUACUGGGCGUAAAGAGUGCGCAGGCGGCCAAGUCAGUCGAAUGUGAAAGCCCCCGGCUUAACUGGGGAGGGUCAUUCGAUACUGCUCGGCUCGAAGACAGGAGAGGGAAGUGGAAUUCCCGGUGUAGUGGUGAAAUGCGUAGAUAUCGGGAGGAACACCAGUGGCGAAGGCGACUUUCUGGCCUGUUCUUGACGCUGAGGCGCGAAAGCUAGGGGAGCAAACGGG
rnacentral:rRNA from 1 species